GCCUAAUUAAAUUAGAUUUAAAUUAGUCUAAUUGGACCUAACUUAUUUGGUUCAAUUAGGUUGGUUUAAAUAAUGAAACCACCUUGACCCAAUCUCCAUGCGCCACCUCACUUCCAUUGCACCCAUUUGAAUUCAUGAGAAGAAACUUCUCAUGAAUUAUUUUCUCACGCCAAGCCCUCUCCACGCCCCACUUUAAUGUGCCAAAUGAAUGGAUAAGGAUGAUUGGUUGGCCAUUCAAAUUCAAAAUAAAGUUUGAAUUUGAAUGG
rnacentral:lncRNA from 1 species